UCCCUGGCAGUCCAGUGGUUAAGACACCAUGCUUCCAAUGCAUGGAGCACAGGUACGAUCCCUGUUCAGGGAA
rnacentral:tRNA from 1 species